rnacentral:misc_RNA from 1 species
UUUUUUUUUUUUUUUUUCCUGAAAAGCAGUUUUUCCCUUCAACCAUAAUGACAAACAGGACAAUGUUUGGUGGUCUUUCACCAAAUGUGAUGCCUGUUCUUGCUGUAAAGUAAUCUGCUUUGAUUUUACUGGGUGCGAUGCAGGUUUAAAUCACAAUAGAAGCUGCUUCCCCACCCCCUUAUAAACAAUGAUGAGGCGGCAGGGACAGUAUGCUGAUCCUGGUGCCAAA